CGGAAAGAUAGUGAGAACAGGUGUCUUGGGUCCACAGUUAUCGACCAUGACCAGCAUGACGAAGGUUCUCUUGUCUCUGGCUCUCUUAUCUCUACUAACAGUGACGUCAUAUGGAGCCCCGGAACGUCGGGGCAGUUGUCUGAGUUACUGUGGGCCGUACGGCGUUACCUGCCCCGAUGGUUACGAAUGUAGAGGAAAUGGGUGUGGCCAUCAGUGUUACCGUCCAGCAAAUUAUGUACAGCCCGAAGGAUGUGUACUGACAACAUGUGCCGUACAGUGCCCCUUUGGAUAUAAAAUGACCGCCAGUGGCUGCGACACGUGUCAGUGUGAUUACUCCGCCAUGACAAAUUUAGGCUAAGCACAAGAUGGAAAAGCCAAGAACGCUGAUGCUUCCAAAUACGAAGGCGCACACAUUUCACUUGUGGUCAUUAUAGUACUUCAAUGAAUAAAAGUAUAAUUAUUCAACAAUACGAUUAUA